GAAAAAUAACAGCAACUAUGGUUCUGAAUAUCCACUAAACCUUAUAGGACUUGCAUGGGAGCUAUGGAUUGAACACAGAGGCUUAGAGUUGAUGGAUCCAACUUUGGAUGAAUCAUGCCCUCAUAAUGAAGUUCUAAGAUGCAUUCAUAUCGGACUCCUGUGCGUACAAGACCAGGCAACAAAUAGACCCACCAUGUCAGAUAUUGUUUCUAUGCUAACAAAUGAAACUUUAGAUCUACCUGCA
rnacentral:misc_RNA from 1 species